rnacentral:rRNA from 1 species
AGUGAACGCUGGCGGCGUGCCUAAUACAUGCAAGUCGAACGGAGUGGCGCACGGGUGAGAAAUAUAUAGCUAAUCCGCCCUUUGCUGGAGGACAACAGUUAGAAAUGACUGCUAAUACUCCAUAGCAAGGGAUGAGACUAUAUCGUAUCAGCUAGUCGGUGGGGUAACGGCCUACCGAGGCUAUGACGAGUAACAGUGCUGAGAGGAUGUUCAGUCACAUUGGAACGGAGACACGGUCCAAGCUCCUACGGGAGGGAGCAGUAGGGAAUAUUGCGCAAUGGGCGAAACCCUGGAGCAGCAUCGCCGUGUGGAGGAUGACACUUUGCGGAGCGUAAACUCCUUUUGUUAGGGAAGCGGUACCUAACGAAUAAGCACCGGCUAACUCCGUGCCAGCAGCCGCGGUAAUAC